GGUACAUACAGGUGAGAUAGGUAGUCAGCUGGUACAGACAGGUGAGAUAGAUAGUCAUCUGGUACAGACAGACAGGUGAGAUAGAUGGUCAGCUGGUACAGACAGGUGAGAUAGAUAGUCAUCUGGUACUGACAGGUGAGAUAGAUAGUCAGCUG